rnacentral:rRNA from 1 species
UGUUUGAGGAUCCCCGGCGGCCUUUCCAUGCAAGUCGAACGGUAACAGGAAUUAGCUUGCUAAUUUGCUGACGAGUGGCGCACGGGUGCGUAACGCGUAUACAAUCUACCUUUUGCUGAGGGAUAGCCCAGAGAAAUUUGGAUUAAUACCUCAUGGUAUUAUUGAUAGGCAUCUAUUAAUAAUUAAAGGUUACGGCAAAAGAUGAGUAUGCGUCCCAUUAGCUAGUUGGUGAAGUAACGGUUCACCAAGGCAACGAUGGGUAGGGGUCCUGAGAGGGAGAUCCCCCACACUGGUACUGAGACACGGACCAGACUCCUACGGGAGGCAGCAGUGAGGAAUAUUGGACAAUGGGCGAGAGCCUGAUCCAGCCAUGCCGCGUGCAGGAAGACUGCCCUAUGGGUUGUAAACUGCUUUUAUA